rnacentral:lncRNA from 1 species
ACAGCCUCAACGUCUCGGACUCAGAUGAUCCUGCCACCUCAAUCUCCCAAGUAGUUGGGACCACAGGUGAGUACCACCAUGCCCAACUAAUUUUUUUUCUAUUUUUUUAUAGAGACAGGAUCUUCCUAGGUUGCCCAGGCUGGUCUUGAACCCCUGAACUCAAGCGAUCCACCUACCUUGGGUUCCCAAAGUGUUAGGAUUAUAGGCUUGACCACCAUUCCUGGCCCAUUGCUCUAUGUUCAUGGCAAACACCUCUCCUCUCUUAGUUCCCUCAAAUCAAUUCCCCAUUCAACAGCUAGAAUGACCCUUUUAAACCUAAAUGCAUCUCAUUGCAUUCACUGCUUUGACUCCCAAACCCUUGAUGGCCAUGGGGCUCCUGCUCACUCCUGUCAGUCACUCUCCUUUCAGUUUCUCAAACACGCCACUCCCUUGGGGGCCUUCAUACAGCUUGUUCUCUCUCAUUGCUAUUCUUUUCUCCUGCCUUCUAGCCCCAACCCAUCUCAAAAGUGAUUUAUUUAUUUAGGUAGGCC